UACGUAAGGUGCAAGCGUUGUCCGGAAUUAUUGGGCGUAAAGAGCUCGUAGGCGGUUUGUCGCGUCUGCUGUGAAAGUUCGGGGCUCAACCCCGGAACUGCAGUGGGUACGGGCAGACUAGAGUGCGGUAGAGGAGACUGGAAUUCCUGGUGUAGCGGUGGAAUGCGCAGAUAUCAGGAGGAACACCAGUGGCGAAGGCGGGUCUCUGGGCCACAACUGACGCUGAGGCACGAAAGCGUGGGGAGCGAACAGG
rnacentral:rRNA from 1 species